rnacentral:tRNA from 1 species
GCAUUGGUGGUUCAGUGGUAGAAUUCUCACCUCCCAUGUGGGAGUCCUGAGUUCAAUUCCCGGCCAGUGUA